rnacentral:rRNA from 1 species
AUGAACGCUGGCGGCGUGCCUAAUACAUGCACGUCGAGCGAACGGACGAGAAGCUUGCUUCUCUGAUGUUAGCGGCGGACGGGUGAGUAACACGUGGAUAACCUACCUAUAAGACUGGGAUAACUUCGGGAAACCGGAGCUAAUACCGGAUAAUAUUUUGAACCGCAUGGUUCAAAAGUGAAAGACGGUCUUGCUGUCACUCAUAGAUGGAUCCGCGCUGCAUUAGCUAGUUGGUAAGGUAACGGCUUACCAAGGCAACGAUGCGUAGCCGACCUGAGAGGGUGAUCGGCCACACUGGAACUGAGACACGGUCCAGACUCCUACGGGAGGCAGCAGUAGGGAAUCUUCCGCGAUGGGCGAAAGCCUGACGGAGCAACGCCGCGUGAGUGAUGAAGGUCUUCGGAUAGUAAAACUCUGUUAUUAGGGAAGAACAUAUGUGUAAGUAACUGUGCACAUCUUGACGGUACCUAAUCAGAAAGACACGGCUAACUACGUG